AUAUAAUUGUUUUUGGAACUCUCUCCCUCAAGAACAAACCCUGAUUGUAUGAAACUGCAAAACUGCAGUGACGAAUGCUUAGCAUUCAGUGGAGGAGGAUUAAAUAGCCAUAUACAAAGCAAUAAGCACGAAGUGAGUGUGUGACGACGAGAAAAAAGGGUAUGUUGUAUAUAUGUAUACGCACGUUCAUCGAAGAAAACGACAAGAAAACUGUUAAAAGAAAAGUGGCAAUCUAAAGUAUGCAGUAUAUAUGUAUAG